rnacentral:rRNA from 1 species
UAGGGAAUCUUCGGCAAUGGGGGGAACCCUGACCGAGCAACGCCGCGUGAGUGAAGAAGGCUUUCGGAUCGUAAAGCUCUGUUGUUAAGGAAGAACGAGUGUGAGAAUGGAAAGUUCAUACUGUGACGGUACUUAACCAGAAAGGGACGGCUAACUACGUGCCAGCAGCCGCGGUAAUACGUAGGUCCCGAGCGUUGUCCGGAUUUAUUGGGCGUAAAGCGAGCGCAGGCGGUUAGAAAAGUCUGAAGUGAAAGGCAGUGGCUCAACCAUUGUAGGCUUUGGAAACUGUUUAACUUGAGUGCAGAAGGGGAGAGUGGACUUCCAUGUGUAGCGGUGAAAUGCGUAGAUAUAUGGAGGAACACCGGUGGCGAAAGCGGCUCUCUGGUCUGUAACUGACGCUGAGGCUCGAAAGCGUGGGGAGCGAACAGG